GCCUCCCAAAGUGCUGGGAUUACAGGCAUGAGCCACCCCACCUGGCCAACCCUCCUGUCUUGACAGGAAUAGGUUAAGGUAGCUUUGGGGGUAGGAGUGAGAGGUGUCCUUGUGAUUUCUCAAUAGUACCCAACAUUUCUCCUCAUAGUACCUGAGUGUUUUCCCUUCUCUUUGUGACACUCCACUGAAGGACCACCAAUGAAGCCUACUACUAAAGAUGCAAAUAUCCCUGGAAAAGGAGAUGGAGUGACAGGAACACUGAUCUUACACCAGGGCUGAGCACAGAGCACAGAGACGAAGCAGGACCCAGGGAAAUUUGGACCCAGAGAUACAUUCAGAGAGAAGACAAUGUGAAGGCACAGGAAGGAUGCGCUGUGAACAUCAGGACCAAUGCCUACAAGCCUAGGAGAGAGGUCUAGAACAGAGCCUUCCCUCGCAGCCCUCAGAUCAAACUAACCCUGCAAGUACCUUGAUUUUGGACUUCUGGCUUCCAGAAUUUAGCAACAGUAACUUUCUGUUGAAGCCAUCCAGUCUUGAAGCCACCCAGUCUGUGGUGCUGGGUUACCGUGGCCCUAGCAAAUUUGCCUGCGGCUUUCCAAAUCACUGCCCCGUUUUGUCAUAGGGGAAGAAUUCUAAGAAGUUCUUUAUUUUGCCAAGUGAGGGAUACAAUAAUGAGCAUUUCCCUCGUCACAGUUCUGACAACUGCCUCAGUCACACACGGCUUAGGAGAUUGGCCACUUCCUCUGCCUUCAACUUGCAGGGGGCUUCAAUAAUAAAUGUGUAGAAGCGUUUGGUCUUCUCAAUGCUGGGAAUCCAGGAAGUAUGGCUUGGCAUACAUGGAAGCCAGUCCCCUAAUGACCUCAUUGACACAGACCUCAUUUGGGGAUCUCCUUCUCAGGCACUUCCCCCUUGGCUCCUGAGGCCAGAACCCGACCCUGCUGUGUCUCUCUUCCAUGCAUCUUUUGCCAUCUCUCUCUGCUGUCUGGAAUCUGCAACAACAUGAGGGUGCUCAGGACUUUGAUGUUGCUACUGACCUCAGCAUGCCCCAGUCCAAACCUACCCUUUUCCUCCUGGGCCCACAUCCGCUUCUGCUCCCCACUUCCCCAAUGUCUUCGUUCUUUUCAUCACAUGCUGACCAAAGAGUCAUCUUUAGGCACUCUCUGUGUCCCUUCUGCUACAUCCACUCUUGUUGCCACAACUCCUGAAUUCUUCCUUCUGAUUUCUUCUCACUCUUCCUUUCCACCGUGGGUCAAUCCACUGGGGCCCCAUGUCAGGACACUGGAUGACACUGUUUGGACACCUGGAAGGAUCGGGUAAAGGAUACAGAGAAGUCUAAGGAGGGAUAGGCUUCAUUUCAGAUAUAUGGGGCUGUUUCUACAACAAUAGAACUCAUGGACACAUGGACAAGAUGGCUUUGGUUGUGUUUGAAAAAACGGUCAGCAGCAAAGGGACCAAGAACAUAUAUUGCUGAAAGACAAUCUCUUAAAUAAAUGGUGCUGGAAAAACUGAUAUCUACAUGCAGAAGAAUGAAACUAGACCCCUAUCUCUCACCA